rnacentral:rRNA from 1 species
GCGCCGAUGGUACUGCGAAAGCGGGAGAGUAGGUCGCCGCCAGUU